UUUCCCCGGCCAGGUAUCGAACCGGAAUCCCCUGUGCGGAAAGGCAGAUUCUUAACCACUAGACCACCACGGAAGUCCCUCCUGAUUUUUUAGAUUGAGAAUAUAAGGCUAAGGAAAAUGGGUGGAUUGCCUCGGGUCUCCCAGUUUAAUAUGGUUUAACUGGAACUAGAACACAAGCCAAUGCAUGCACUUUGGUCCACGGGUGCAAGAAAGGAUAACCUCUAACCUUAACUGGCAAAACAGAAUUAAUAAAAUGAAACUAAUUGUUAUGAAAUCGCUGGAUGUUUCUUCGUUACAUCAAUGGAGUGAAGAAAGAGGGAGGGGAUGGUUCUGGAUUAAAAGAGAAUGAUGAAGAAACAUAAACAAAUGCAAUGUGCAGACUUGAUUGAUUCAAAUAAACCAAGAGUAAGUGGAGUUGAUGAUGGACAGGGAAGCCUGGCAUGCUGCAGUCCAUGUGGUGCAAAGAGUUGGACACAACUGAGCAACUGAACCGGCUGAAGUGACAUUUAGGGACAAGUGGGCACAUUUGGACAGGGGAAGAAGAUGAGUAUUAGCUACAACUGUGUGUGCGUGUUCAGUCAUGUCUGACUUUUUGGGACCCUAUGGAAUGUAGCCUGCCAGGCUCCUCUGUCCGUGGGAUUUUCCAGAAUCCUCAGGUUCUAGGAUGGUAACGGAGACAACUCAUCACUAGGAGGUGAACCACAGAUGGUGAAAAGGUUGCCCUGGACCAUCCUCUCCCACUGAUACAGCUCCUCUGAUGAUGAAUAACCCCAAGCUGAGAUAGCUGGUGAUGAUGAGAAUUCUCCGUCAGUACCAAUGGAACUGCUGUUCUGAUCUUCAGGGGAUCAUGCCCUCAUUAGCACCACAUUCUUACCAAAAGAGCUACCACUCUUACACCCCGUCGUCAAAUCUCUACGAAUUUUAUCUAUUUGCUGGCCCAAGGAAAGAUGCAGAAACUGCUUGAAAAGAUUACUAUAAAUAGCCUAAUCACUGUAUCAACAAACAUGCUGAAUAAAAACUCUCAAAAAAUAAUUGUCCAUUUGCUUAGUAAUUAGUUACACCCUAGCAUUCCUUCAAAGGGAAGCAUGCCACAUGCACGGUGAUUUGUAUCUCUGUUAGCCACAUAAGCUCUGGAACAACAGGAAAUACAGAGGUAAAGGAACAGAAGUCCACUAAAACUGCUGCUUUGAAGACAGGGAUAUUUAUGCCAAGCUUUGUUGUUCUGAGGUUACUGAGUGACUCCUCUUUCGUCACCACUGAAGCUCUUAAGAGCUCUGAGCAGAAACGUUCAACCUACCUGGAUAUAUUGGAUUCCCUGGUCUACAGAAUAUAUAAUUCUAACAUCCUUGCCACUGUGUACACACACACACGCAGACAUUGUUUACUUGUUGGUAAUCACCACAAUCAAAACUGUGAAAAACUCUCACUGUGUUCGGCCAACACAAUUUUGAAACUUAGUCCUUGAGACACAGAUGGA
ensembl:lncRNA